rnacentral:rRNA from 1 species
UGCCGCGUGUGUGAGAAGGCCUUUUGGUUGUAAAGCACUUUAAGCGAGGAGGAGGCUACCGAGAUUAAUACUCUUGGAUAGUGGACGUUACUCGCAGAAUAAGCACCGGCUAACUCUGUGCCAGCAGCCGCGGUAAUACAGAGGGUGCAAGCGUUAAUCGGAUUUACUGGGCGUAAAGCGCGCGUAGGUGGCCAAUUAAGUCAAAUGUGAAAUCCCCGAGCUUAACUUGGGAAUUGCAUUCGAUACUGGUUGGCUAGAGUAUGGGAGAGGAUGGUAGAAUUCCAGGUGUAGCGGUGAAAUGCGUAGAGAUCUGGAGGAAUACCGAUGGCGAAGGCAGCCAUCUGGCCUAAUACUGACACUGAGGUGCGAAAGCAUGGGGAGCAAACAGGAUUAGAUACCCCC